GUUUAGGUAGUGUUUUUCUUACAUCCUACAUUUUAUUUCGAUCGGUAGCUCAUAGCUAUAUAAAUACGAUAAGGGGGGGGGGGGGGGGCAGCAACUGCCAAACUCAGAAAUUAACAAACAUUUUCUUUGGUCAAAGAAUAAACAUGUGUACAUAUUGUUAUGUAAACACUCAGUUACAUGAAUAGAAACUUCCUCCACAAGGUAUUUUGUAAAGUUUGUAAUGAAUCUAAUUUUUUUAACUAUAGCUUUGGAAAUCAGUGGAAUGUGUUUAGAAUAUGUAAUAAAAGUAGUGCUAUGUUUAAUGUUAUCCAUUCGAUAUUCUAUUACACAUGACCGUGAUCUAUAUAAAAUUAUCAAAUUUAUAGUACAAAAACACUGAACAGUGUUAGUUUUAACCUAUUCUCAACCUCUUAAGUGCCAUGAAAUGCAAAGUUUCUGAGGGCUCAGCCCCUAUAACAAUCUCACUGAUGCCCAAACUAAAUCCUAUAUUAGGCCCCACUUGAGAGAGAAUAUUCAAUGUUAAAGCUCCCUUAAUACAGUAUGUCUUGCACAUCAAACUCAAGGAUCUUCAAGGUUACGUAUAUAGUGUCAUCCUUACACCUAGUAUAAGAAUUACUAAAACUACAUCAUAUUUUUUUUUGCUGCUUCAAGUUUGUUUUUUCAGCAAUGAUGUUGUCUAUCAUUCAAAAAGGUAUUGUUCACCUUUCACACUUUUCAUAUUUAAACCAUUAAACCAUGCUUAACGGUUUGCCUAACACAAGUCUGUAAACCACACAUGAACAAAAGAACAAAUGAUGAAUGACAAGUUACAAAACUUGUCAGAAUCUUCAAUGUAAAAUUUGUAUCAGUAGGGAAGGACCAGGACUUAACCAAAAGUUUUUUUUUUUCUGAUCGACCAAAUAUUUGUAAGAGCAUGAAACUCACUGGUUCAUUCCAGUGAGAUGUUCUUUCAAAUGUUUUUUCACUUAAUAUUCAUGAUAAAAUACAGGAAACCAACAAAGAUAUAGCUUAGUUAAUUGACUCCCGUCAGAAUAAACUGGUGCAAACUAUGUGCUACCUACUUGAAAAAAAAAUUCUAUAACACAAAGUAGAUAAUGUAUGAAAAG